rnacentral:lncRNA from 1 species
ACCCAUUUAAAGCUCGUCAAAGGACUUGUUCAAUAUCCUGGGUCCCUUUCUGUUCAUUUUUUCUCUCCCCCCGUGCUGUCCUCCUUCAACUUUCCCCGACCACCCCUCCUCUUUUUAAGCUCUUGGCACCAAGUAACUAUGAAGACUCUGAGAACUGGACCAUCCCAAGGCUGUAGCUUUCUUCAAGCCUGGCAGGCUCUGUCGUGGUGAAGAGUCUGAAGGCUUUUUCUUUUCCAGUAACACAGGAGGUGAUUGAAUGGAAGGAGUGGCCAGUCACUCUUUGGCGUCCAGGAUCCAAGAAGAAACAGAUGAGGAGGAAGGAGGAUAAACAACUUCUGGACAAAGCGAGCCUUCCUUCACUGGCCUUCUCUCCUUUCUCUCCCGAGGGACAUUGUGACUUUGAGGCCUCUUACCUCUGCAAACUAGCCAGGAGAAAAGCUGUGACUGAAGAAACUGCCUCCUCCAAAGUUUCUGGGCCCUGCCCUUCACAGGGCAAUGUUCCCAGCUAUGGUAAGAAGCAAAGAGAAGACAAAGACCAAAGCCUGAGGCAGAAGGAGCUGCAAGGCUUAAUAAGCUUCAGCAAUCCUUUUACAAUAGAGAUGCUGCAAGGAGGGCAGAAGCUCUAAUCACUCUGCAGAAGACCCAGCUGGAGGAAAUGAGAUCUCACGUGGGGAUCAAGGGUUGUAGGAGUGGGAGGAAGAUGUAGAGAAGAAGAACUUUUUCACUGGAGACAUUGUAAAACCAUGACAUCCUUUGCUGAAAGGGACAAGGAAGCAACUUCCCUGGAGGUUCAGAAAGUAGAAUUAUAGUUGCUGUCGGAUGUUAAAUGUAGAUCUGGAAGUCGUGGUGAAAAACUAGGCUGGGUUACACUGGAUGCUCAUCCAAAGUCUCUGUUCUGAUUCCAGUUGCCCAGUUUGUAGGAGGAAGAGCAGAAGAGAGGACAGUUGAGUGCAUCUGUGGAGGGCACAUGGAGACACUGGGUAACAGCCUGGGAUUCCUUGUUUUUCUGAGCACCACAUCAGGUAUCAGGAAGGUAGGGCUGGGAUGUGAGUCUGCUGCUGACCAGCAUUCUGACCUGGGGCUGACUCUGGCCACAGUUCUAACAACUGUGAAAUGAGAGAAUAAGAUCAGAUUUAAAUGCAACAAACUUUUAUUAAAGAUGUGUAGGAAACAACAUUGAAUAAUAACUGUUCAUGGCCUGCAGGGUUACACAACUAGGGAGAUGACACACACACACACACACACACACACACACACACACACACACAUAUACAUUCAGAUGUGGUUAUAAUAGGGAAUGAACAGUAUUUUAAGGGAAAAUGAGGCAGGAGAGAAAUUGGUUUCACCUUUGGAGGAGGUAGGCCUUGAGUACGAUUGAAUAAGGUGCUGAUGGGUGGAAAUGGAUGUAAAGAACAGGAGGUGUCUCUGGAAGAUAAAACAGGCGAACAAAAAGAGGGACCAGAAGACUGGGUAGGUGCAGAGGGUCAGUUCUGGGAGUGAGCAGCAGGUGGCUAUGGUGUGAGCACAGGUACAUAUCACAUGGCAGGGACUCAGGCAACAUCUGCUGAGUGACAAGUGGCGGCAGUGAGGUUGUACGGGAGGACAGGGAGGCCUGUUCCUGGCAGGGGAGCCACAUGCAUGUGGAGCUCAUAUGGGUUUCUGAAAGGGAGACAGGCCACUCUGAUGGGCUCUGUGUCCAAGGACAGGGAGACCACGGGAAGCGAGGCCCAAAGGCUGAGAGGUAAGGUCCAGGGAGGAGAAGGAAAGGGUUUGAAUUCAGAUAGCAACACCGGAGUGGGAGGGAUCUGAAAAAUAGAGCAGAAGCUCCUUCAGGCAUCCGGAGGCUGACCAGACAUGCAGGGAGACAGAGAAGAAAGAGAUGAAGAGAAUGCUGGGUUUUGAGCCUGGGCAGUGGGGAGGGUAGAAAUACAGAAAGAGACAAACAGCCUCAAGGAGAGGUUUGGGGAGGAGAAGAUCAGUUCAAUUUCGUGAGAAGUUCUGCAGGGUGUCUAAGCAGAGACGGCCAGCAGAGUAGGCCGGUAGAAAUGUGGGGAUCUGGGGAGCUGGAAAUCGGGGGCUCAUGGAAGCACUGGCUGAAGAUGUGGACGCGGAGGAGAGAGACAGAAGCGAUGUGCUGGGAGAGGAGGCCCGGCCAGCAGAGGAGCAGGACAAGGAAGAGGACGCCAUGCUUGUGGCUGUGCACUGGAAGCACUGGAGAUCCUGCUGCCACACAGCUUCCGGUCCAGGCUGAGGACGGCGGCCACUUGGUGUGGAAGACACAGGAGCUGUUGCAUUUGCACCCAGGUUGUAAAACAAGAUGGUGAUAUUGUAGAAGAAGAUGCAAAAAUUCCAAUUUUAAAAGCAAAACCAGAAAACUUCAAGGACACGUGGUGCUUGCUGCCAUCUGUUUCCGGUUCUGCAGAGUAUGUGUUUGCUCCCUCCUGCCUCCUGGGAGCUUGGUGGGAGAGUUUGGGAAGUGUUGCCAGGGAACCCACCCUAAGAAGCCUG